AGAACAGCAUCAAUAUCAAUUUCAUGCUCCGCGUCCUCUCCCUCAGGUGCAUACUGACUGUGGCCCACUGUAGUCCCGCAUAUCCAAUCCAUGACCCCCCAUGACCCGUAAUUGCCACAACCUUUGCUUAGCAGGUGCAGAUCGGCCCUGCGCGCCAUGCCGCCAAUGAAGAAACUGGUGGGCAUGACUCUGUAACCGGAGUGGGAAAAAGUCUCCUCGAGCGAAAUGAGGGCGACGAAUAUGAGGUAGGUGAGUAGGUGGAAACGGCAGGCGGCGGCGGGAAGGAAUGUAGGUAUGAACCGGGAGAGGAGGUAGGCGAGAGGAUGGUCGUAGUGUGCUGUUAGCGGGUAAGGGCUUCGUAACGAGUGGUACCAUUCAUCAUGGCACUUUGCGACAUAGGCUAUUGGUGAAUGGAGGAGGA
rnacentral:sRNA from 1 species